rnacentral:rRNA from 1 species
GGUGGAGCGAUUUGUCUGGUUAAUUCCGAUAACGAACGAGACUCUAGCCUGCUAAAUAGUUCGUCGAUGGCACUCUGUCGGCGCUAACUUCUUAGAGGGACAAGUGGCGUUCAGUCACACGAGAUUGAGCAAUAACAGGUCUGUGAUGCCCUUAGAUGUUCGGGGCCGCACGCGCGCUACACUGGCGAAAUCAGCGUGCUUGUCCUUUCUCGAAAGAGAUUGGUAAACCAUUGAAAAUUUGCCGUGAUUGGGAUUGGAAAUUGCAAUUAUUUUCCGUGAACGAGGAAUUCCAAGUAAGUGUGAGUCAUCAACUCACGUUGAAUACGUCCCUGCCCUUUGUAC